rnacentral:tRNA from 28 species
UCCUCCUUAGCUCAGUUGGUUAGAGCAUCUGACUGUUAAUCAGAGGGUCACUGGUUCAAGUCCAGUAGGGGGAGCAA